ACCACACACAGUGUCCUGCUUCCUUCUACACAUGUACUUUAGUUAAUGCCUCAAGAUUUUGUGGAUGACUCGACUGGGGGUUUUGUUUGUGUAAGAUGCAGUUCACCAUUAAAUGAACCAGUCACAGUAAAUGUA